rnacentral:rRNA from 1 species
UGGUCAAGUUAUUAAGGGUGCAGGGUGGAUGCCUUGGCACUAGGAGCCGAUGAAGGACGUGAUAAGCUGCGAUAAGCUUCGGGGAGUUGCACGUAAACUUUGAUCCGAAGAUUUCCGAAUGAGGAAACUCACUUAGAGUAAUGUCUAAGUAUCAUUAAGUGAAUACAUAGCUUAA